CAAACAAACAAAGAUGGCUGCUUUUUCAUAGUCUCACAGCCUCCAUUUAUCUGCUCUUUCGCAUUUCUUAAUCAAAUUAAAAUCCACCGAAUUCUUUCCCUUUUUCAGUUUCUUCUCCUUCCUCCUUCCAAACCCAGAUCCAUUUUAUCUGUCUCUACUGUUUCCACUCUUCAAUUGCAUAUCUUUAACCUCAAAAAUAUAAUUUUUUGUGCACAUCUCCGAACCCUAAUUAUAUAUUAAACCAAAGGAUUCUCAUUCGAAGUCCAUAACUGUGUCGAACCCUUUUCAAUUCACCGAUCAACAGGUCUAGAAACAUCAAAAUCCACACUGCCCAUUUCCUCUCUAGUUGAUGGGCACAAUCAGGGCUAGUACUGUAGACCUAUCCAAACCCCCAUCAACCUCCUCAACCACCACCUCCACCUCUCGUACCGAGACAAUUAAUGGGUCCCAUGAGUUCAAAAUCGGUGGCUACUCUUUAUCAAAGGGCAUGGGAGUUGGAAAGUAUAUACCUUCCGAUACAUUUUUUGUUGGUGGGUAUGCUUGGGCAAUCUAUUUUUACCCUGAUGGUAAAAGCCCUGAAGAUAAUGCAGCUUAUGUAUCUGUAUUCAUUGCUCUUGCUAGUGAGGGUACUGAUGUUAGGGCAUUGUUUGAGCUCUCAUUGAUUGAUCAAAGUGGUAAAGAAAAUCAUAAGGUUCAUACCCAUUUCGGUAGAGCUCUUGAAAGUGGACCGUACACACUAAAGUAUCGCGGGAGUAUGUGGGGUUACAAACGAUUUUUUAAAAGAACUCAACUAGAGACAUCUGACUAUCUCAAAGAUGAUACCCUGGUAAUUCGUUGUUGUGUUGGUGUAGUUAAGUCCCAGACAGAGGGUCCUAAGACCUAUACUAUUGCAGUAUUGCCAUCUGAUAUUGGUCAGCAUUUUGGAAAGCUUUUAGAGAGUGGAAAGGGAGCUGAUGUAAACUUUGAAGUUGAUGGUGAAGUAUUUUCUGCUCACAAGCUGGUUCUUGCAACACGCUCGCCUGUGUUCAGAGCUCAACUUUUUGGUCCAAUGAAGGAUCAGAACACUCAAUGCAUAAAAGUUGAAGACAUGGAAGCCCCAGUUUUUAAGGCAUUGCUCCAUUUUAUUUACUGGGAUGCCCUACCAGAUGUGGAAGAGCUCGUUGGCUUAAACUCUAAAUGGGCCUCUACACUGAUAGCGCAGCAUCUACUAGCAGCAGCAGAUCGUUAUGCACUUGAGAGGCUCCGAUUGGUCUGUGAAGCUAAACUUUGUGAAGAUAUUGCCAUAAACACUGUUGCAACAACACUUGCCUUGGCAGAGCAGCAUCAGUGUCUCCAGCUAAAAGCUGUCUGUCUCAAAUUUAUUGCGCUCCCUGAAAAUUUGAAAGCUGUGAUGCAGACAGAUGGAUUUGAAUACCUAAAGGAAAGUUGUCCUUGUGUAAUCACAGAACUUCUGCAAUAUGUGGCUAGAAUUGGUGAGCAUUCUGGCAUUGCUUGUGCACAUGGAAAUGAGAGCUUAGAUGGCGAUUUGAAUGGAAGGCGAGUGAAGCAAAGAAUACAUUGAUUUAGGAAUAACAAAUAGCGCAGCCUUUGGACAAAAACCAGAGCUUGUUAGCCCUAUACAUUUUUGAGACUGUACUAACAUUUGACUAUUUAUAGCAGAAAUUUAAUGGAGUUUGUGUGAAUAUCACGUUUUACUUGUGUGUUACCGUGUAUAUGCAGUAUCAAUGUCCUUAAUGGGGAUAUGAUGAAAUUUUCCUGCUGCUGUAAUUCGUACCGUGAUUGUAUUAGAUGAUAGUCAGCAGUCUCUCUAUCUUAUUAUUGAGGCCUAAUCUAUUAUAUUAAACGCUA